rnacentral:rRNA from 1 species
CCUACGGGAGGCUGCAGUGAGGAAUAUUGGUCAAUGGGCGCGAGACUGAACCAGCCAAGUAGCGUGAAGGAUGACUGCCCUACGGGUUGUAAACUUCUUUUAUAAAGGAAUAAAGUGAGGCACGUGUGCCUUUUUGUAUGUACUUUAUGAAUAAGGAUCGGCUAACUCCGUGCCAGCAGCCGCGGUAAUACGGAGGAUCCGAGCGUUAUCCGGAUUUAUUGGGUUUAAAGGGAGCGUAGAUGGGUUGUUAAGUCAGUUGUGAAAGUUUGCGGCUCAACCGUAAAAUUGCAAUUGAUACUGGCAGUCUUGAGUACAGUUGAGGUAGGCGGAAUUCAUGGUGUAGCGGUGAAAUGCUUAGAUAUCACGAAGAACUCCGAUUGCGAAGGCAGCUUACUAAACUGCCACUGACAUUGAUGCUCGAAAGUGUGGGUAUCAAACAGGAUUAGAUACCCCAGUAGUC